rnacentral:snRNA from 1 species
GUUGUUACGACAAGUGCGA